GGGCGCAAGCCUGAUGCAGCGACGCCGCGUGAGGGAUGGAGGCCUUCGGGUUGUAAACCUCUUUUAUCGGGGAGCAAGCGUGAGUAAGUUUACCCGUUGAAUAAGCACCGGCUAACUACGUGCCAGCAGCCGCGGUAAUACGUAGGGUGCAAGCGUUAUCCGGAAUUAUUGGGCGUAAAGGGCUCGUAGGCGGUUCGUCGCGUCCGGUGUAAAAGUCCAUCGCUUAACANUGGAUCCGCGCCGGGUACGGGCGGACUUGAGUGCGGUAGGGGAGACUGGAAUUCCCGGUGUAACGGUGGAAUGUGUAGAUAUCGGGAAGAACACC
rnacentral:rRNA from 1 species